rnacentral:lncRNA from 1 species
UUGUGUGUUUGAUGUGACAUGCUGAGUGUACGUCUCCCAUCACCCAAAUGCAAGCUCCUUGAGAGCAGCGACGUGGUAUUUCCAAUGCCUGGAACAGUACGUGGCACCUGAUGAGUACAGUCAAAGGUAUUUCGGAAUGUUUGCUGAGUGGGCUGGAAUGUUGGCGUGAUGGUUGAAGCUGUAACAGCCAUCUUCGACUACAAAAUGGAAGCUGCAUGCUACAAAUGACAGAAGACAAGAUCAAAAGAACCUGUGUUCCCAGCACCACAGAACUGUCCCUAUGGAAAUAGACAUGACUGUUACAUAAGAAAGAAAUAUACCCUACUAUGUUUAAGCCUCUGUUAUUUUAGCAUGUGUUGUAGCAGUUGUAUACUAAGUAACUAAUGAGAAAGAAUAUUUUGUGCCCUGGUAAAGAUGGAUACUUCUAUAUGUUAUGAGAACAAUUUGAUGAGGUAAUUGUAAUUUAGUAGAAUAAUAUCAAAUAUUAAUGUCAAAUGACUAGUUUGGCAUUGCCACAUAGUAAUUGUUGGGCAAGUUAUUAACCUGUGUCUCAGUUUCCUCACUGGUAGAAUAACAAUAACAGACAAUCGUACUAGUGUCUAACGUUUUACUGAACAUGUAGCUUGGUUCAGCGCCACACAUUAUUUGAAUUAAGUAGAAUAAGAGAGUCCUGAGUAAAUAUAACCCAAAUGUAAAUUAUUUUUAAACUUUA